UAUGAACAUUCGAUCUUUGCUGUGCUGUUUCUUCCCCAUCUUUCUGUUGCUUCGUUGGGCUUAGAAAUCGAUGAUGAUUUUCAGAAAUUAGGGUUUUUAUGGCUAUCUAUAUUUGAGGAGGUCUCCAAAUCAAUUUCUGGAAAGCUAAAGCUACGACUUCUGCUAUCUGCUUAUCCUUCUUUGCCACGGGAAGAGAGGAUGAGGAAAUUGGUGGUUUUGAGAUUUUAAUGCUGGGAUGUUUGAGAGGUUUGUGACGGUGAGAACUCGCCGACAUCCGAGUUGAAUCGGCG
rnacentral:misc_RNA from 1 species